CACUAAUAAUGAUACACGAAAUGAGAUUAUUCAGCAAACACGAAGCUAAGAUUCUUUAUCUACCUAGAAGCGGAGAUUGUGAAUAAACAAGCGAAUAUUUACGCAGUACAUUAUAUAAAAUUUGAAUCAUGCUAAAAUUGAAAUCUAGGAAAAGAGCAUACCCAGAAGAUUAUCCAGGUAACGAGAUUCGAACUUAUGUGUAUCUGAUAUUAAGCACUUCAAGUCACUUACCUGACAAAUUUCAGUGGACACAAGGAAGAUCAACGAGUUAUAUGACGAUCCACAUAACAAACGAUGAAGUUGUAACAUACUACUUGAAGAGCUUGAACAAGCUAGAAAGAAAAAGGAACUCAAGGAAGAAUUCAACAUAAAUUUUUUAUGAUGAAUCCAGAUCCAUCUUGGGCCCAUCCCAGUACAAGACUCGUUUCCAAAAAUUUGGAUUAUACAUAAAAACUAAUCGAAGGCAAUGUCAAGAGCGGUUAUGUUUACACUAACAGAUUUCCAUUCACUAAGUUCAGUUCAUACCCCAU
rnacentral:lncRNA from 1 species